rnacentral:lncRNA from 1 species
CGCAUGCAGGCUCCCGGGCCGGCUGCGGAAGCUGUGGGCCUGGACUGGGGGUAGCAGCAGAGGGGCGGCCAGCCUUGGGGAGCCGGCGGGAUCCAGAGCGGGGCUCCUCUCCGCACUUUGUAGCUGCGUUGCUCCGCUCCAUGCCCUGCCUCAGCCACUCCUCCUGGUUACCAGGCAAAAGGAAACACCUUGAGCUGGCCAGGAGCUACCAGCGUCUGUCUACACCUGGGAGUUCAGUGGCAUGACCAGGGCUCACUGCAACCUUGAUCUGGGCUCAAGUGAUCCUCCUACCUCAGCUUCCUGAGUAGCUAGGACCACAGGUGUGCACCAACCACACCCGACUAAUUUUUGUAGAGAUGAGAUCCCACUAUGUUACCCAGGCUGGUCUUGAACUCCUGGGCUCAGGUGAUCAUCCUGCCUUGGCUUCCCAAAGUACUGGGAUUAUAGGCUUGAGCCACCGUGCCUGGCCUGUGAUCAGAAUUCUCAUUUUUUUAGUCACUAAAAAUGCUGGGGGGCACUCCAUUCUCCAUUAUGUGAUUAGUUCACAUUGCAUGCUUGUAUCAAAACAUCAUAUAUACCCCACAAAUAUAUACAAAAAACUUUAAAAUUUUAAGUAUUAAUUGCUCAGGAAAAAAUUAAAAUGCUGGGGUGCUGAAAUCUCAAGGGCCCCAUUACAAAACUCCUUAGGAACCUCGCCCUCUCUCUGCUGUAAGGACUGGUUCCAGAAUGAGAGAAUUUAAAAGACAUUCCCCCCCCAAAAUGUUCAUAAUGUCACCCCGGAAACCUGCGAAUAUGUUAUAUUACAUGACCAGGGAGAAGUAAGGUUGCAGAUGGCAGUAAGGUUGCUAAUGGGCUGACCUUAAGAUAAGGAGAUGAUCCUGGAUUAUCUGGGUGGACCCAAUGUAAUCACAAGGGUCCUUAACUGUGGAAUAGUGAGGUGGCUGAGUCAGAGGCAGAGUGAUGCAAUGACUGAAAGACUUAACCAGCCAUCACCGGCUUUGAAUACGGAAGACGGUCAUGAGCCAGGGAAUGCAGGCAGGCUCUGGGAGCUGAAAAAAGCAAGAAAAUGGAUUCUCCCCUGGAGCCUCCAGAAGGGAUGCGGUCCUGCCAACCCCUUGUCAGUGAGCCAUUUCAGAUUUCUGACUUCCAGGACUGUAAGAAAAUAAACUUGUCUUGUUUUCAGCC